CCUACUGGAGGCAGCAGUGAGGUAUAUUGGUCAAUGGGCGCGAGCCUGAACCAGCCAAGUCGCGUGAAGGAUGACUGCCCUACGGGUUGUAAACUUCUUUUAUAAAGGAAUAAAGUGAGGUACGUGUGACUGUUUGUAUGUACUUUAUGAAUAAGGAUGGGCUAACUCGGUGCCAGCAGCCGCAGUAAUACGGAGGAUCCGGGCGUUAUCCGGAUUUAUUGGGUUUAAAGGGUGCGUAGAUGGGUUGUAAAGUCAGUUGUGAAAGUUUGCGGCUCAACCCUAAAAUUGCAAUUGAUACUGGCAGCCUUGAGUACAGUUGAGGCAGGCGGAAUUCGUGGUGUAGCGGUGAAAUGCUUAGAGACCACGACGAACACCGAUGGCGAAGGCAGCCUACUAAGCUGCCACUGACAUUGAUGCUCGAAAGUAUGGGUAUCAAACAGGAUUAGAUACCCUAGUAGUC
rnacentral:rRNA from 1 species